rnacentral:rRNA from 1 species
GGAAUUAUUGGGCGUAAGGGCUCGCAGGCGGUUUCUUAAGUCUGAUGUGAAAGCCCCCGGCUCAACCGGGGAGGGUCAUUGGAAACUGGGAAACUUGAGUGCAGAAGAGGAGAGUGGAAUUCCACGUGUAGCGGUGAAAUGCGUAGAGAUGUGGAGGAACACCAGUGGCGAAGGCGACUCUCUGGUCUGUAACUGACGCUGAGGAGCGAAAGCGUGGGGAGCGAACAGGAUUAGAUACCCUGGUAGUCCACGCCGUAAACGAUGAGUGCUAAGUGUUAGGGGGUUUCCGCCCCUUAGUGCUGCAGCUAACGCAUUAAGCACUCCGCCUGGGGAGUACGGUCGCAAGACUGAAACUCAAAGGAAUUGACGGGGGCCCGCACAAGCGGUGGAGCAUGUGGUUUAAUUCGAAGCAACGCGAAGAACCUUACCAGGUCUUGACAUCCUCUGACAACCCUAGAGAUAGGGCUUUCCCUUCGGGGACAGAGUGACAGGUGGUGCAUGGUUGUCGUCAGCUCGUGUCGUGAGAUGUUGGGUUAAGUCCCGCAACGAGCGCAACCCUUGAUCUUAGUUGCCAGCAUUCAGUUGGGCACUCUAAGGUGACUGCCGGUGACAAACCGGAGGAAGGUGGGGAUGACGUCAAAUCAUCAUGCCCCUUAUGACCUGGGCUACACACGUGCUACAAUGGACAGAACAAAGGGCUGCAAGACCGCAAGGUUUAGCCAAUCCCAUAAAUCUGUUCU